rnacentral:lncRNA from 1 species
UAGAUUUAUUGAAAGACGAAGAAGAAGAAAAUGGCGGAAGAAAAAGUGAUCGCCUGCCACUCCGUCGCCGCCUGGACCGAGCACCUCGAGAAGAGCAACGUCGACAAGAAACUGGUAUAUUUUUAUUCUCACACACUUCUUUUUUUUUUCAAUUUGCAUUCUUUGUUGAAUAAGUUAAAUUAAAAUUUUAAUUUUAGUGCUGUAUUUUGCGAUCAGAUUUUUUGCGUAUUUUCUUGUUGGCCUUAUUGAAUUUUUGGGUAGAAUUUUAGGGCAAUUUUUUUGAAGAAAAUGCUAGCUUUUGUCCCUGAACUUUUGUCUAAUUGGAGAUUUGGUCCCUGGCCGAGUGGAUGGUACUGGUCCGGUAUAGCUCCAAUUCGACUAAAGUUCAUGGACCGGUGCUCCUGUUUUCUCUUUUCGAAUUAAAGAACGAGACUUGGGUGUAUGGCAGUCUGGCAGAUUACAGUUCGAAUUUAGUCUGAAUUUCGUAUGGCUUGUACAUUGCUUAACCAAUUUGAUAUGUAAAUUUGGUGCCUACUGUAAAAGCUGGUGGUUGGUUCGGUCGAUUUUGGGUCCCGGAUUGACCUGUUUGCAGGAAAAUAUAUGAUAAAAACUUCUCGUCUUGUCGCCAAGUUUUAGCCAUGCUGGGUUCGAAUUUAUGCAAUUAUUUUCUCAGUGAUUCCUCUUUAGAGAAUGAAAAUGUUAUCUUUUCAUGAUUGAUUGCUUUAAGCGACCGCGUAUGAGGUUGAUUUCAUGUUUUCUGUAUACAAUGUGUAGCGAAUUAAGAUCACUAAUUUGGGCUAUAUUUCAAUAGAUUGUGGUCGACUUCACGGCUACAUGGUGUGGACCUUGCCGGUUCAUUGCACCCAUCUUCGCGGAGUUGGCUAGGAAGAACCCGGAAGUGACAUUCCUAAAGGUGGACGUGGAUGAGUUGAAGACUGUUAGUGAGGAGUGGGGCGUGGAGGCAAUGCCGACCUUCUUGUUCCUCAAGGAAGGCAAGGUAGUUGACAAGGUUGUGGGUGCUAAGAAAGAAGAGUUACAGCUCAAAGUUGUGAAGCAUGCCGCUCCAGCUGAUGUUCCAGCUGAUGUCGCAACUGCUUCUGCUUAGCUUUUCGCACUCACUUUCGGGAAUGUGAACCUCCUACUAUGCUUUACUACUUGUUUAUAACUUUUAUGGGUUCCUGAAGACAUGAAUGUUUUAUGUAUAUAUGAUUACAUGUACCUAUAUGAUGAUGCCUUGAAUCUACUAUCUAUGAAUAAGAAUUUCAAUGAUAAGAUAUUAUGAUAUAUUUCAUGCCAAUUGCAAUUGAGUUCUAGCGAGACGUGAAAUAUUAAGUAAUAUUUGUAUAUCUGAAUUCUCUUCAUAUUAGUUUUUAAUGAUAUUUGAAGUAAAAAUAGCGAAUUCUUUAUAAAAAAAUAUCAAUGUACAAGGAGUCAAUGUCAGAGAACCCUAGGGCCUCAUUUCGAAGGCUCGUCUAAGACCUCUAAUUCUCAAGAUUACUUAUGUCUUACCAUUUAUUCAUAUCAUUUCUAUUAGGUGGACUCUAAUACAGAUAGUGUAAAACUACUCUGAAGAAAAUAUAUGUUGGGCUUUAAUCAAUUUAUGGCGGUGAGCCCCAUCUACAACCGAGAGGAAUAUAUCCCAUUUGGGCCUCUGUCCAGGUUCAUUUGACCGGACCUGCCCUCACUACAUGACAAAAUACAUUACGUCACUGCGGAUGGUAUGCGCGCGCGUAUACCGUUACCAUCACAAACGUUAUUCACACAUAAUGGCAUUACUGCAAUUAAAUCAAAUGUUAAGCCCUUUUAGUUAAGAUUGGCAUCCGGCUAUAUAUAUGUAUAUACGCGGAGGCCCGAUCCCUUUCCCAAAUCAUCGCAAGAGAAAAAUCGAGCUCUGAACAACUUGAUUUGUUGAAAGAAAGCGAAGAAGAAGAAAAUGGCGGAGGAAAAAGUGAUCGCCUGCCACUCUGUCGCCGCCUGGACCGAGCACCUCGAGAAGAGCCACGUCGACAAGAAACUGGUAUUUUUUUUUUCUCGCGCACUUCAUUUUUCCCUUUUGCAUUUUUUGUCGAAUAAAGUUUAAUUUUAGUAUUCUGCUGUUUUGUGAUGUAUUAUUGAAUGAUUGUAAUUUGUGAUCAUUUUUUUUUACUUUCUUGUUCGCCGUAUUGGAUUAGUGGCUAGAAUUUUAGUGUUGGAUAGUGGCUGUGACCAACAUGCAAAUACUUUUUGAUUAAAUAAAAGAAAAAAAAUGGGUGGACAACGUCAUUGUGUCCAUUCCUUGUUUUGGAGAGAAAAAAAAAGGCACCUUGUCUAAGGUUAUUUGUUUGGCCAUCAACACAUGUGGAUUUUGGUUCUUAACAUAGUGUUGCUGCCUUUGGAGCAAUUAGAGAGAAAAUGAAGAGCACCACAAAGAGAAGUGAGAGCUGCCGAGACCAGAGAGAGAUGCAGAGAGCCUAAAACAAGAAAGAGAUGCUGCUCCAUUUGUUAGUAAUCAUCUAUCAAGGUAGUUGUUGUAAUAGUUUUGAGCUUUGUAUAGAGAGGAAGUUAUUUAAUAUAUUUAUCUCUAUUUGUUUCUUUGGUGUGUGAGAGCUAUUGGUUGUAUUGGAGUUUUGAGUUAUGAGUUUGCCAACACUUUGUAAACUCCCAUUUGAUUGAUAGUAGAUUAUUAGGUUAGCUUCUAUUGCUCCGAUGACGUACUCCAGUUACACUGACUGUUGAGGAACCUCGUUAAAAUCUUGGUGUCUUUUAUAUUUUGUUCUUGCAUUCCAUUUGAUAUAUUUUUUGUGGGUUAGAUUGAGUUGGUUCCAAUCUUGCCAAAGAUGUCAGACGGGCAAGAUGAGAUUCCUUUUGGAAGCAGCUCCGGGUUUGCAAGAAUUACGGUGCAAAAUGCAAAGUUCGAAAUGGAAAAGUUUGAUGGCACAAACAACUUCGGGAUGUGGCAAUAUGAGGUCAAAGAUGUGUUGGCUCAACAAGAUCUACUUGCCGCUUUGGGAGAAAAGCCAGGAGCUAUGUCGAAGCCGGAAUGGGAGAAAUUAAAUUUGUGGGCUUGCUCUUCAAUUCGGUUGUGUCUUGCAAAAACUCAAAAGUAUUUUGUGAUGCAGGAGACAUUGGCAAGUGUGUUGUGGCAAAAAUUGGAAGACAAGUAUAUGAUGAAGAGUGCAGAGAACCGGCUACACUUGAAGAAAAAACUCUACAGCUUCCAAUACAAAGAAGGUACAAAAAUGAUUAGACACUUUGAUGCUUGUAAUAAGUUAAUUGCUGACUUGUUAAAUUUAGAUGAGGAUAUUAAGAAUGAAGAUAAGCCCUUAACAUUGUUGAAUUCUUUGCCGGACCUUUAUGAGCAUUUUGUUACCAUUAUUAUGCAUGGUAAAGAAACUGUGAAAUUUAAAGAUGUGUCAAAUGCCUUGAUGAAUUAUGAAAUGAGGCCUUGAUGAAUUAUGAAAUGAGGCAUAGAGAUAAAAAUCAUGAUAGUACCUUUGAAGCUUUAUUUGUUAGAGGUAGAUCAUCGGAGAGGAGAUCCUCUUCUAGUAGGAAAAAAUCACACUCUCGACUUAGAGGAAACUCUAAAAGUAGAAAAACCUUAGAAAUGGAAGAAUGUGCCUUUUGUCAUAAUAAGGGUUAUCGGAAGAAAGAUUGUCCUAGGCUGAAGACCAAAGGAAAAGAAAGUUCUGAAACCAAUGUUGCUGAUGUUGAAACAGAUUUUUUUAUUAUUUUGCUUUAACCACUUCCUCAUCAUUUGAUUGUGCUACUAAAUGGGUGUUGGAUACGAGUUGUACUCAUCAUAUGGCUCCACACAAAGAUUGGUUUUCAAGCUUGAAAGAGUUUGAUGGUGGUGUUGUGUUCAUUGGAGAUGACAAUUCUUGUACAACAAAAGGGAUUGGUACAGUUCGUUUGAAGUUGCAUGAUGACAUAGUUAAAGAGCUGACAGGUGUUCGGUAUGUACCAAAUUUGAAGAAAAAUCUUAUUUCUUUGGGCACUUUAGAAUCCAAGGGCUUCAGGUUUCAUUCAGAUGGGCAGACAUUGAAAAUUAUUUAUGGUGCACUUGUUGUGAUGAAAGCUCCUCGAUGUGGUCAUUUGUAUCUAUUGCAAGGAAACACCGUGACAAGUGAAGCAUCUGUAGUCUCAGAAAAUAUGGGCACAUCUGAUUCAGAUACUACUAGACUGUGACAUAUGAGAUUAGGCCAUACCGGUGAGAAAGCUCUACAAGGGCUUGUGAAAAAAUAUCUUCUAAAAGGUGCCACGACUUGUCUACAGUUACACUGACUGUUGAGGAAUCUCGUUAAAAUCUUGGUAUCUUUUAUAUUUUGUUCUUGCAUUCCAUUUGAUAUAUUUCUUGUGGGUUAGAUUGAGUUGGUUCCAAUUGGUUUGGUGUUGUCCUAGCACAAUAUGUAGUACAAAAUUUUAAAAUAGAAAAUUGUAGCUUUGUGGCUUGACUUUGGUCUAAUUGAAGAUUUGGUCCGUGGAUGGUCGAUGUGACAAAUCAAUUCUUUGGGUUGUUAACGGGCACCGAUAAGAAUUAUUAACAACCCAAUGGGUUGAUUCGCUACUUCUACAGUUCUACUGGGUGGUACUGGUCUUUAAAGUUUAGUCUAACCAAUUGCUCCAAUUCGACUAAAGAUGAUGGACCAAUUCUCUUAUUUUCUCUUUCCGAAUUCAUGUACAAGAAUCAUGAAUGGGGUGGAUGGCAGAUUACCGUUGGAAUUUGUUACGUAUGGCUUGUACAUUGCUUAACCGAUUAGAUAUGUAAAUUUGGUGCCUUUUGUAAUAGCUGGUGGUUGAUGGGGUCGAUUUUGUGUCCUGGAUUGGCCUGUUUGCAAGGAAAUAUAUGAUGCAAACUUCUCUUGUCGACGAGUUUUAGCCAUGUUGGGUUCGAAUGUAUACAAUUAUUUUCUCAGCGAUUCCUCUGUAGAGAAUGAAAAUGUCAUCUUUUCGUGAUUGAUUGCUUUAAGCGACCGUGGUUGAUUUCAUGUAUUCUUUAUACAAUGUUUAGCGAAUUAAGAUCACUAAUUCGGUCUAUACUUCAAUAGGUUGUGGUCGACUUCACGGCUAUAUGGUGUGGACCUUGCCGGUUCAUUGCACCCAUCUUCGCGGAGUUGGCUAGGAAGAACCCGGAAGUGACAUUCCUAAAGGUGGACGUGGAUGAGCUGAAGACUGUUACCGAGGAGUGGGGCGUGGAGGCAAUGCCGACCUUCUUGAUCCUCAAGGAAGGCAAGGUAGUUGACAAGGUUGUGGGUGCUAAGAAAGAAGAGUUACAGCUCAAAGUUGUGAAGCAUGCCACUCCAGCUGAUGUCGCAACUGCUUCUGCCUAACUUUCGGACUCUCUUUCGAGAAUAUGAAC